rnacentral:rRNA from 1 species
UACAUGGGGUGCAAACGUUGCUCGGAAUUAUUGGGCGUAAAGCGCACGUAGGUGGUCUGUUAUGUCAGAUGUGAAAGCCCUCGGCUUAACUGAGGAAGUGCACCUGAAACUGGCAGGCUUGAGUACGAAAGAGGGUCGCGGAAUUCCCGGUGUAGAGGUGAAAUUCGUAGAUAUCGGGAGGAACACCGGUGGCGAAGGCGGAUCUCUGGGCCGAUACUGACGCUGAGGAGCGAAAGCGUGGGAGCGAACAGG